CCCGCUUGCCAGCCCCCAGGACACGGGCUGGCAGCCCAGAGCGAGCUGUGUGAGGGACAGGGGGAGGGCAGCCCCGGGGGGGAUCAGGAGCCAAGUGAAGGGGAUGAGGAAAUAGAAGAUAUUGAGAUAGUUGUUGUAUAGAUAGUUAGUGGGUAGCAAGAUAGUUGAUGCUGGGGUAGAUAGCUGAUAGCAAGACAGCUGAUAGAGAACUGAUAGUGAGAUAGACAGCUGAUAGUGAUACAGGUAGUGGAUGGAUAAUGGAUAGCAAGAUGGGUCUUUAAUAGAGAGUUUUUUGUAGAUAGCAAGAUCCUUAGUUGCUAGUGAGAUAGAUAGUUAUGUCAUAGCCAGAUAGCAGAUGGGGAGAUAGGGGAUGAAAACAGAGUUGGUAGUGAGAUAGUUGGUAGAGAGUGUAGAUAACACUAUAGAAACUGGACAGUGAUGUAGAAAGUUGACAUCUUUUGUCUCUGCUGCAGACGAGCUGCCUGAGUCCUGGGACCCCACUCUCCCCUCCAGCGUGUGAUGAUGAGCGGUGCCUGAUGCUGCCCCAGUGCCGGCAGAAGAACAGCAGAUGUGGAAACACCUGUCCUGCCAGAAGAGCAUCACGGAGAAGAAGAUGCGCCUCCUGCUCAGAGGAAGAUGCGCUGCUCGAGUCCUUGGAUGUCCCUUUGCCUCCUCCUCCAGAGUUCGAGGCAGGAACAACGCCUGGUGCUGCCCCAGCGCCAGCAGAAGAACAGCGGCUCCUGGACGGACGUGACCGGCCGGAAGAUCGUCGGGGAGAAGAGGAUGCGCCUUGUGCUCAGAGCGAGGUACGUCCGUGUCUGUGCACAUGGCCCAGCUCCCAGGAUGUGCUCCUGGCUGGGAGGGGCGUUCCCAUGAAAUGGGCCUGGGGCUGAAACUGAAUGAUAGACUUUUCUGUAGGCACUUUUCACUUUUAUAACUCAAAAUCUCACUUCUCUCACCUUUGUGAUUUUCUUUCUUGAGUUGGCAGCAACUCACUCUUCUCCUUUGCUUUUGGUUUAGUUACUCUUCUCCCUCAACCUCAGCAUCAAUGACGCCCGCCUGCCCCAAGUCAACAAAGGAAGGACUGGGCAGAAGACGAGAGCCCCGGCUGGUGCUGCCGGUCUGAAGUGAGAGGAGGGAGAAGAGACUGGCCCAGCAGAAGACAGAUAGGGAGCACAGGGGCACAGUUAACAACAAAAUGUCUGUUAGUCAGUACUCUUAACUGUAAAAGAGUUCUGUAAAUAAAUUGUUCGAUAUUGUUCA
rnacentral:lncRNA from 1 species